CUACGGGAGGCUGCAGUGGGGAAUAUUGCACAAUGGGCGCAAGCCUGAUGCAGCAACGCCGCGUGAACGAUGAAGGCCUUCGGGUUGUAAAGUUCUUUUCUUAGGGAAGAAUAAAUGACGGUACCUAAGGAAUCAGCCCCGGCUAACUACGUGCCAGCAGCCGCGGUAAUACGUAGGGGGCAAGACGUUAUCCGGAAUCACUGGGCGUAAAGGGAGGGUAGGCGGUCAAACAAGUCAGGGGUGAAAGGCAUCGGCUCAACCGAUGUAAGCCUUUGAAACUGUUUGACUUGAGUGCAGGAGAGGUAAGUGGAAUUCCUAGUGUAGCGGUGAAAUGCGUAGAUAUUAGGAGGAACACCAGUGGCGAAGGCGACUUACUGGACUGUAACUGACGCUGAGGCUCGAAAGCGUGGGGAGCGAACAGGAUUAGAUACCCCGGUAGUC
rnacentral:rRNA from 1 species